rnacentral:rRNA from 1 species
GAUGAACGCUGGCGGCGUGCCUAAUACAUGCAAGUCGAGCGAACAGACGAGGAGCUUGCUCCUCUGACGUUAGCGGCGGACGGGUGAGUAACACGUGGAUAACCUACCUAUAAGACUGGGAUAACUUCGAGAAACCGGAGCUAAUACCGGAUAAUAUAUUGAACCGCAUGGUUCAAUAGUGAAAGACGGUUUUGCUGUCACUUAUAGAUGGAUCCGCGCCGCAUUAGCUAGUUGGUAAGGUAAUGGCUUACCAAGGCAACGAUGCGUAGCCGACCUGAGAGGGUGAUCGGCCACACUGGAACUGAGACACGGUCCAGACUCCUACGGGAGGCAGCAGUAGGGAAUCUUCCGCAAUGGGCGAAAGCCUGACGGAGCAACGCCGCGUGAGUGAUGAAGGUCUUCGGAUCGUAAAACUCUGUUAUUAGGGAAGAACAAAUGUGUAAGUAACUAUGCACGUCUUGACGGUACCUAAUCAGAAAGCCACGGCUAACUACGUG